GUGCAGCAGGCGAGAAACUUUACAAUGUGCGAAAGCACGAUAAGGGAACUCUGAGUGCCUCCUAAGGAGGCUGUUCAGGUGUCUAAAAGCACCUGGAGUAAGGGCUGGGUAAGACCGGUGCCAGCCGCCGCGGUAACACCGGCAGCCCAGGUGGUAGCCACUUUUAUUGGGUCUAAAGCGUCCGUAGCCCGGUUGAGUAAGUUCCUUGGGAAAUUUGGCUGCUCAACAGUCAAGCUUCCAGGGAAUACUGCCCGAUUGGGACUGGGGAGAGGUCAGAGGUACUCCAGGGGUAGGGUGAAAUCCAUUAAUCCCUGGGGACCACCGGUAGCGAAGGCGUCUGACCAGACCAGGUCCGACGGUGAGGGACGAAGGCUAGGGGCGCGAACCGGAUUAGAUA
rnacentral:rRNA from 1 species